AAACCGUUUAGGGGUAAACCUGAGAAACCCGAAAGGUCGAAGGGAGAAAUUCAUUCGCGUUUCGCCGUUGGCGUGAGACGGUCGUGUGACGGAAAUCGUUCGCGUUUUCCGCACCUUUCGUUUUUCGAUCCGAUAGCGAACGCGUGCACUUUUCUCCUGGUAGGACGUCGCGAUCCGUUGGGUGUCGGUCUACGGCUCGCGGUGGAGCCCGGAUGUACGGCUUGCCGUCACGUCCGGACCCGCGUGUCCCGGCUGACUCGCUCGACGGUAUACGAAAGGUUUAAGGCCGCUCUUUGAGCGUUCGGCUCGUCGCAAGCGCGUCAGAUGUGUCGGUGAUCGGACCUAGUGCCGGUUCUGACCUCUGGCGACUGUUGGCGGCGAAGUUCUCGAACAGACCUUUGACCGAUCUGCGACGCUAUAGCUUUGGGUACUUUCAGGACCCGUCUUGAAACACGGACCAAGGAGUCUAGCAUGUGCGCAAGUCAUUGGGAAUCACUAAACCUAAAGGCGCAAUGAAAGUAAAGGUCCGCCUUGCGCGGACUGAGGGAAGACGAGCGGUUUACCCUUAAAAGUGACCGCUCCGCAUUCCCGGGGCGUCUCAUUCUCAUCGCGAGAAGAGGCGCACCAAGAGCGUACACGCUGGGACCCGAAAGAUGGUGAACUAUGCCUGGUCAGGACGAAGUCAGGGGAAACCCUGAUGGAGGUCCGUAGCGAUUCUGACGUGCAAAUCGAUCGUCGGAACUGG
rnacentral:rRNA from 1 species